UGGGGAUGAAGUGCAUCAGAACUCCUCCAGCGGCUCCUGCAACAACUCCUAUCAGCACCUCCAGAACUCCUUUAACAACAUUCAUCCACGUCGAGCCUAAUGCAAAGACAUUUUUAAGCUUGUUUGACCCCGCGUCCACAUACGUGCACAUUGUAUUUUGGCAUUGCUAUACACAGCGCAUAAUUGAAAUGAAUUUAAUCUGACUGAAUACAGUCCACAAGACUCUAGUCUGUCAUGUAAUGGUUAAACUUUACACAAUGGUCAUGUGAUGCCUCGACUUCAUUACAGCACUCCUACAGGAGCAGGGCAAACAAAAGUGCCUCUGGUAAGAAAUCUCUUUAAGUGUCUUCAUUGAAAUCUGUUUAGUUGUAAAGACGAAGGUCUCUAGUUUCAUUUGAUACGCCGCUUUAAAACAUCCGUUCAUUUAUUGAGCAUCAGUGCGCUGAUAAACAUGACGUCCACAUACGUGUACACCGGCACCACAUUUCCUCUAAAGUUGAAAAAACAUGUUUAUAUUUUUCAACAUUCAGAUCUGAGGGUAAUUUUUCUACAUUUUUAUUUUCUUAUCACUGCAUAAUAUGAUUAUAUUCAUUAACAUUAAUAAAUGCAUUUUAUAUAUUUAUUUAUUGUUCUGAGACCAGUGCAGACAGACAGCACACUGGAGGUCAAGUCAUUAACUAAAUAGGGAGCAAGGGAGCAUCCUAUAGCUCUCCUAUAACUGUUCUGAGACCAGUGCAGACAGACAGCUCACUGGAGGUCAAGUCAUUAACGAAAUAGGGAACAAGGGAGCAUCCUAUAGCUCUCCUAUAACUGUUCUGAGACCAGUGCAGACAGACAGCACACUGGAGGUUAAGUCAUGCACUAAAUAGGGAGCAAUGGAGCAUCCUAUAGCUCUCCUAUAACUGUUCUGAGACCAGUGCAGACAGACAGCACACUGGAGGUUAAGUCAUGCACUAAAUAGGGAGCAAGGGAGCAUCCUAUAGCUCUCCUAUAACUGUUCUGAGAUCAGUGCAGACAGACAGCACACUGGAGGUUAAGUCAUGCACUAAAUAGGGAGCAAGGGAGCAUCCUAUAGCUCUCCUAUAACUGUUCUGAGACCAGUGCAGACAGACAGCACACUGGAUGUUACGUCAUGUACUAAAUAGGGAGCAAGGGAGCAUCCUAUAGCUCUCUAUAACUGUUCUGAGACCAGUGCAGACAGACAGCACACUGGAUGUUUCGUCAUGUACUAAAUAGGGAGCAAGGGAGCAUCCUAUAGCUCUCUAUAACUGUUCUGAGAUCAGUGCAGACAGACAGCACACUGGAGGUCAAGUCAUGCACUAAAUAGGGAGCAAGGGAGCAUCCUAUAGCUCUCUAUAACUGUUCUGAGAUCAGUGCAGACAGACAGCACACUGGAGGUUAAGUCAUGCACUAAAUAGGGAGCAAGGGAGCAUCCUAUAGCUCUCCUAUAACUGUUCUGAGACCAGUGCAGACAGACAGCACACUGGAGGUCAAGUCAUGCACUAAAUAGGGAGCAAGGGAGCAUCCUAUAUCUCUCCUAUAACUGUUCUGAGACCAGUGCAGACAGACAGUACACUGGAGGUCAAGUCAUUCACUAAAUAGGGAGCAAGGGAGCAUCCUAUAGCUCUCCUAUAACUGUUCUGAGACCAGUGCAGACAGACAGCACACUGGAGGUUAAGUCAUUCACUAAAUAGGGAGCAAGGGAGCAUCCUAUAGCUCUCCUAUAACUGUUCUGAGACCAGUGCAGACAGACGGCACACUGGAGGUCAAGUCAUUCACUAAAUAGGGAGCAAGGGAGCAUCCUAUAGCUCUCCUAUAACUGUUCUGAGACCAGUGCAGACAGACAGCACACUGGAGGUCAAGUCAUUCACUAAAUAGGGAGCAAGGGAGCAUCCUAUAGCUCUCCUAUAACUGUUCUGAGACCAGUGCAGACAGACAGCACACUGGAGGUCAAGUCAUUCACUAAAUAGGGAGCAAGGGAGCAUCCUAUAGCUCUCCUAUAACUGUUCUGAGACCAGUGAAG